UUUCCACUGUAAAGCAAGGUAUCUUAAACAGCAAUUUCACUAUUCAUGUCUCAACCUACUUUGUCCCUGUAGUUUCUACAUUAAAAGUUCCACAAGAAUUUCCAUACAACUACAAACUUUUGAAGUCUUAUGUGAUGUUUAUGCAAUGCUAUGACUUGUCAACAAAUCUAAUUUUGAAUCUGGUUAAUGAUAUUUUUUUGUGUGUGCAUCUGUGUAUUGAUUGUUUAGCAAUUUGGGAUCUUUUUUUUUGUCUUGGAUAUUAUGAGGGCUGGAUGAGUGUCAACGAGACUCCAUGACUUGCAGUUCUAUUUCUCCUUUCUGUGCACAAUGGUUACCAUUCGAGUAUUAUGUUAAGCAGAUGAUGAGCGGAUUAGCUUGAGUUUUGCUCUCUAGGUCAGUCAGUAUUUGUGGCCUUCUCCUCCGGCCGCUCAAAGGCGUCGACAUUCUGAAAGUUUGGUCUGGCCUCUGUUUCUCAAUGAAUCCUAUUUGUUUUCCUGAAAACAAGAUCUCCAUCCACUAAAAUUUCAAGCGAUUUUGCAAGUUUGUUGGUGUGUUGAAUCUAAGUAAUGGCUAUUCGGUUUGGGGUGCUUCUGUGCACGAAUACUUGGACCUUUCGAAGAUGGCAGAAGGAGAACCUGGAUAAUCAUCAGAAUAAAAUGAAGCUCAAGCACCAAGAGGAGAUCAUCGCGCAGCAGGGAACGGAGCAACAGAAAGCCUUCGUGAUUCGUGCAAGGCGUGAUCACAAACUGAACGGCAAGUUCAGCGGUCUGGAUUUGACCACGUGAGGUGAAGCAACGGAGGAGAUAGCUGCCAGUUGUCGGAGGCGUCGACAGCUGGAGGUGGGCCCACGUUCUGGAGAUUUAACUUUUGGAAGCCAAAUUGUAAUCGAGCGUUGGCUCUGAUCUCCUUCCUCCCUUGCUCCUCUCAACCCAGACUACUGCUUCUAUUCUCCUUCCCUUUCUUGGAUUUGAAUCUUGUAUCUGAAUUCGUGGUGUUUCCCAAUGGAUUAAUGAGGUUAUAGAUCGGGUGCGUAUCACAGAAGGUAAGUUACAAGAAUUCUGUCGAGACAGCAAUUUCACUGUAAAGCAAGGCAUCUUAAACAACAA